UACGAAGGGGGCUAGCGUUGUUCGGAAUUACUGGGCGUAAAGCGUGCGCAGGCGGCUUUUCAAGUCAGGGGUGAAAGCCCAGAGCUCAACUCUGGAACUGCCCUUGAAACUGGAUAGCUGGAGUACGGGAGAGGUGAGUGGAAUUCCCAGUGUAGAGGUGAAAUUCGUAGAUAUUGGGAAGAACACCGGUGGCGAAGGCGGCUCACUGGCCCGUUACUGACGCUCAUGCACGACAGCGUGGGGAUCAAACAGG
rnacentral:rRNA from 1 species